GGGGGGAUAGCUCAGAGGUUAGAGCAGCGGGCUUAUAUCCCGCCGGUCCCUGGUUCGAAUCCAGGUCCCCCUACCA
rnacentral:tRNA from 1 species